CACGUAGUUAGCCGGUGCUUCUUCUCCAUCUACCGUCAGAAACCCUUCGUCGAUGGUGAAAGGAGUUUACAACCCGAAGGCCGUCAUCCCCCACGCGGCGUCGCCGCAUCAGGCUUCCGCCCAUUGUGCAAUAUUCCCCACUGCUGCCUCCCGUAGGAGUCUGGGCCGUGUCUCAGUCCCAAUGUGGCCGUCCACCCUCUCAGGCCGGCUACCCGUCGCCGCCUUGGUAGGCCAUUACCCCACCAACAAGCUGAUAGGCCGCGGGCCCAUCCCACACCGAAAAAACCUUUCCACCACACCCUCACGGUGCGGUCCUAUCCGGUAUUAGACCCAGUUUCCCAGGCUUAUCCCGAAGUGCAGGGCAGGUCACCCACGUGUUACUCACCCGUUCGCCACUCGUGUACCCCAGCAAGCUGGAGCCUUACCGUUCGACUUGCAUGUGUUAAGCACGCCGCCAGCGUCGUCCUCGUAGCCGACGGACGUCGAAACCUACC
rnacentral:rRNA from 1 species